rnacentral:rRNA from 1 species
GAUUGAGUUUGAUCCUGGCUCAGAUUGAACGCUGGCGGCAGGCCUAACACAUGCAAGUCGAGCGGUAGAGAGAAGCUUGCUUCUCUUGAGAGCGGCGGACGGGUGAGUAAUGCCUAGGAAUCUGCCUAGUGGUGGGGGAUAACGUUCGGAAACGGACGCUAAUACCGCAUACGUCCUACGGGAGAAAGCGGGGGACCUUCGGGCCUCGCGCCAUUAGAUGAGCCUAGGUCGGAUUAGCUAGUUGGUGAGGUAAUGGCUCACCAAGGCGACGAUCCGUAACUGGUCUGAGAGGAUGAUCAGUCACACUGGAACUGAGACACGGUCCAGACUCCUACGGGAGGCAGCAGUGGGGAAUAUUGGACAAUGGGCGAAAGCCUGAUCCAGCCAUGCCGCGUGUGUGAAGAAGGUCUUCGGAUUGUAAAGCACUUUAAGUUGGGAGGAAGGGUAGUAACUUAAUACGUUACUACUUUGACGUUACCGACAGAAUAAGCACCGGCUAACUUCGUGCCAGCAGCCGCGGUAAUACGAAGGGUGCAAGCGUUAAUCGGAAUUACUGGGCGUAAAGCGCGCGUAGGUGGUUCAGUAAGUUGGAAGUGAAAUCCCCGGGCUCAACCUGGGAACUGCUUUCAAAACUGCUGAGCUAGAGUACGGUAGAGGGUGGUGGAAUUUCCUGUGUAGCGGUGAAAUGCGUAGAUAUAGGAAGGAACACCAGUGGCGAAGGCGACCACCUGGACUGAUACUGACACUGAGGUGCGAAAGCGUGGGGAGCAAACAGGAUUAGAUACCCUGGUAGUCCACGCCGUAAACGAUGUCAACUAGCCGUUGGGAGUCUUGAACUCUUAGUGGCGCAGCUAACGCAUUAAGUUGACCGCCUGGGGAGUACGGCCGCA